AUUCCAGCUCCAAUAGCGUAUAUUUAAGUUGUUGCGGUUAAAAAGCUCGUAGUUGGAUUCCGGGCGUGGAGGUUCGGUCCGCCGUUUCGGUGUGCACUGUCUUUCUGCGUCUUUCUGUCGGGGACGCGCUUCUGGCCUUAAUUGGCUGGGACGUGGAUUCGACGAGGUUACUUUGAAAAAAUUAGAGUGUUCAAAGCAAGCUAAAGCUCUGAAUACAUUAGCAUGGAAUAACGCGAGAGGACUCGGUCCUUAUUUUGUUGGUCUUCAAGGAUGGAGUAAUGAUUAAGAGGGACAGUUGGGGGCAUUCGUAUUUCAUUGCUAGAGGUGAAAUUCUUGGAUUUAUGAAAGACGAACUUCUGCGAAAGCAUUUGCCAAGGAUGUUUUCAUUA
rnacentral:rRNA from 1 species